UUGAGACAGAGAGAGACAGAGCAUGAACGGGGGAGGGUCAGAGAGAGGGAGACACAGAAUCUGAAACAGGCUCCAGGGUCUGAGCUGUCAGCACAGAGCCCGAUGCGGGGCUCGAACUCACGGACUGCGAGAUCAUGACCUGAGCCGAAGUCGGCCACUUAACCGACUGAGCCACCCAGGUGCCCCCCGGAUCGUUUUUUAACCCUUGUAUGGCGAGAAUCUCCACUUCAAAUACAUAGAAACCUUAAAAAAAAAAAACCCAAAAACAAAAAACACUCAUGGAAAAAUAAAGUACAUAAAAUUGGAAUCGCUAAUAACCAAUAAAAACCUUGCAGGACUUGGCGUGGAUAGCUCAGCUUUCUCUCACUGCCCGUUCAUCUUUGCAAGGAGCUUACAUGCAAUAAACCCCCAGCCUUCACCUUGUACCCCAUGCUCUGAGACCUUUUCUAGGCCAAGGCAGGAAGGGCAGAAGCAGGGAUUUUUGUUGGGUUUGUUUUUCAACAUUACGUUACAUUUUUCUGGUUAUGAAAACAGUAGGUACUUAUUUGAAAAUGAGGGGGGCGGGGCUAGAAAAAGUCGAAGGAAAGAAAUCUCUCACGAUUUUGUUUUUCAAAGGCAAUCAUUUCAAACAUGUUGAUGUCUUGAAAAUUCAUUUUUGUAUUUCAACCUCUGUACAUUUAGACUUUCUCUUUUUACAGAACUGUGAACUCCUGUGACAGGCAGUUGACUGGAAGAUGGGCCAGGAGAAAGGCAGGUGUAGGCUGUUUUGCAUUAUGAGUGACCAUUGCAUGCUUUUGUCAUACCCUUGGACUGAUUGACUGUCAGGACUGGAAGGGAACCUGAAAUUCAGCUGGUCUAACUACAUUGUGUACUUACUGGUGUGGAAAUUGAGUCUCCAGGAGAUGGCCUGAAUUGCUUCUAUUCACAGAGCUACUCUAGGGCAAAUCCAGACGCUGGAGUCCAAGAACAUUCUUGACUGCCUGUUUAUUAAAGCAUUGUUCUACACUCUUCC